AACGAACGCUGGCGGCAGGCCUAACACAUGCAAGUCGAACGAACCCUUCGGGGUUAGUGGCGGACGGGUGAGUAACACGUGGGAACGUGCCUUUAGGUUCGGAAUAACUCAGGGAAACUUGUGCUAAUACCGAAUGUGCCCUUCGGGGGAAAGAUUCAUCGCCUUUAGAGCGGCCCGCGUCUGAUUAGCUAGUUGGUGAGGUAAAGGCUCACCAAGGCUACGAUCAGUAGCUGGUCUGAGAGGAUGACCAGCCACAUUGGGACUGAGACACGGCCCAAACUCCUACGGGAGGCAGCAGUGGGGAAUCUUGCGCAAUUGGCGAAAGCCUGACGCAGCCAUGCCGCGUGGAUGAUGAAGGUCUUAGGAUUGUAAAAUCCUUUCACCGGUGAAGAUAAUGACUGUAGCCGGAGAAGAAGCCCCGGCUAACUUCGUGCCUGCCGCCGCAGUAACAC
rnacentral:rRNA from 1 species